rnacentral:rRNA from 1 species
GACGAACGCUGGCGGCGUGCUUAACACAUGCAAGUCGAACGGAAAGGCCCUGCUUUUGUGGGGUGCUCGAGUGGCGAACGGGUGAGUAACACGUGAGUAACCUGCCCUUGACUUUGGGAUAACUUCAGGAAACUGGGGCUAAUACCGGAUAGGAGCUCCUGCUGCAUGGUGGGGGUUGGAAAGUUUCGGCGGUUGGGGAUGGACUCGCGGCUUAUCAGCUUGUUGGUGGGGUAGUGGCUUACCAAGGCUUUGACGGGUAGCCGGCCUGAGAGGGUGACCGGCCACAUUGGGACUGAGAUACGGCCCAGACUCCUACGGGAGGCAGCAGUGGGGAAUAUUGCACAAUGGGCGGAAGCCUGAUGCAGCAACGCCGCGUGCGGGAUGACGGCCUUCGGGUUGUAAACCGCUUUCGCCUGUGACGAAGCGUGAGUGACGGUAAUGGGUAAAGAAGCACCGACUAACUACGUGCCAGCAGCCGCGGUGAUACGUAGGGUGCGAGCGUUGUCCGGAUUUAUUGGGCGUAAAGGGCUCGUAGGUGGUUGAUCGCGUCGGAAGUGUAAUCUUGGGGCUUAACCCUGAGCGUGCUUUCGAUACGGGUUGACUUGAGGAAGGUAGGGGAGAAUGGAAUUCCUGGUGGAGCGGUGGAAUGCGCAGAUAUCAGGAGGAACACCAGUGGCGAAGGCGGUUCUCUGGGCCUUUCCUGACGCUGAGGAGCGAAAGCGUGGGGAGCGAACAGGCUUAGAUACCCUGGUAGUCCACGCUGUAAACGGUGGGUACUAGGUGUGGGGUCCAUUCCACGGGUUCCGUGCCGUAGCUAACGCUUUAAGUACCCCGCCUGGGGAGUACGGCCGCAAGGCUAAAACUCAAAGGAAUUGACGGGGCCCCGCACAAGCGGCGGAGCAUGCGGAUUAAUUCGAUGCAACGCGUAGAACCUUACCUGGGUUUGACAUGGAUCGGGAGCGCUCAGAGAUGGGUGUGCCUCUUUUGGGGUCGGUUCACAGGUGGUGCAUGGCUGUCGUCAGCCCGUGUCGUGAGAUGUUGGGUUAAGUCCCGCAACGAGCGCAACCCUUGUUCACUGUUGCCAGCACGUUAUGGUGGGGACUCAGUGGAGACCGCCGGGGUCAACUCGGAGGAAGGUGGGGAUGACGUCAAGUCAUCAUGCCCCUUAUGUCCAGGGCUUCACGCAUGCUACAAUGGCUGGUACAGAGAGUGGCGAGCCUGUGAGGGUGAGCGAAUCUCGGAAAGCCGGUCUCAGUUCGGAUUGGGGUCUGCAACUCGACCUCAUGAAGUCGGAGUCGCUAGUAAUCGCAGAUCAGCAACGCUGCGGUGAAUACGUUCCCGGGGCU